UACGAAGGUCCCAAGCGUUAUCCGGAUUUAUUGGGCUUAAAGGGUGCGUAGGCGGGCUAUUAAGUCAGUGGUGAAAGCCCCAAGCUUAACUUGGGAACUGCCAUUGAUACUGAUGGUCUUGAGUACAUUUGAGGUGGGCGGAAUGUGUCAUGUAGCGGUGAAAUGCUUAGAUAUGACACAGAACACCGAUUGCGAAGGCAGCUCACUAAACUGUAACUGACGCUGAGGCACGAAAGCGUGGGGAGCAAACAGG
rnacentral:rRNA from 1 species